rnacentral:rRNA from 1 species
GAAUCUGGAGACAGGUGCUGCAUGGCUGUCGUCAGCUCGUGUCGUGAGAUGUUGGGUUAAGUCCCGCAACGAGCGCAACCCUUGCCUUUAGUUGCCAGCAGUUCGGCUGGGCACUCUAAAGGGACUGCCGGUGUUAAACCGGAGGAAGGUGGGGAUGACGUCAAGUCCUCAUGGCCUUUAUGACCAGGGCUACACACGUACUACAAUGGCCGAUACAAAGGGCAGCGACACUGCGAGGUGAAGCCAAUCCCGUAAAAUCGGUCUCAGUCCGGAUUGGAGUCUGCAACUCGACUCCAUGAAGUUGGAAUCGCUAGUAAUCGCGAAUCAGAAUGUCGCGGUGAAUGCGUUCCCGGGUCUU